AAUUAUAUUGACAGGUUAAUGCACCAAAUGAAAGAAUAAACUCAUACAUAUUCAUGUCGAUAAAACUGUCAACAGUUUUGAAAUUAAAAUUAAAUGAUUUUCGAUUGAUAUACGAUCUUGCCUUUAAUAAAUCGUGUAAUGAAACAUUUUUUCGAUAAAAAAAAAAAUUACCAAUUCAAUUUACUCAGUUCAUCUACUCUAAAGUCAUAAAAAAGCUCUUUCAACAACCAAUCGAGCAAUCAACAAGCUAACAUUGUGAGCUAUGAAUUAAGCGACAAUUUUUUCAAACUUUUCAAUAUUUUUAUAUUGUAUAAGUAUAAUAAAGUAAAUUUCGACAACAACAAUGCUUUUAAUCACGCCUACACAGACAUGCACAAAAAAUUAGCAAUGCGCUCAGCCCACUGUGGCGUAUGCAGAUUUCGGAAAUAAAAUUUAUCGUUACAUUGAUAAGAAAUUUUAAUUAAACUCCAAACAAAAAAGCAAACAUCGCACAUCAGUCGAUGCGAACAGAUUGAAUGGUGAAAAUCAAGGCGGUGCUUAAAAGGGAUGACACAGUGCCAUGUUGGUGCGGGGCGGUAAAUGGCAGACACGGCGUGCAAUUGAACAGCAGUCGGUGGCAGUUAACUCAUAUGUGGACAUAUGCAUGUAUGUUGGCGCUACCGUUGAUGAAAUUCAUUGAAUGAACUUCAAUUUAUCGAAAAUUUCAUAUCGGGCCAGAGAAAGCGCAGACAAUUACGGAGAUACAAGUCAAAAGCAGUGGACGCAUUGAUGCAAGCACUUUGUUGCAUUUAACGGUGUGUGGUGUGUGGCAGCAUCAGACAGUCAAAGCAGACGUCGCACAGCACCAACCCCGUUGCACACAAAAUUACUCAAAAGCCAGCGGAGUCAAUGCAGAGACAACGGAUAGCGGACAACGCCCGCACAGGUACACAUAUGUUACCAAUUAAGCUCACAGACACACAUAUAUCUUUGGAAAUAGAUGCAUAUAUAUGUACACUCAUCCACAUAUACUACAUAUAUGUCAAUCAGCGCAUUGGCGUGUCAGAGAUUUAACUUGAACUUCACAUCACUUCACUAAUCUCGAUGCCGUCGUCAUCGGCGUCGUCGACGUCUAACUUUCAUGCGAAAUACUUAGCAGCAGCCAAUAUGGCAACUUCCGUUGGACUUUCAACUUUGCCGCUUUGUUGUUCGUCUGAUUUGUGUGGUGUUGCUUUUCCAUUAUUUUCUACCCAACAUUUUUUUCUUCACAUUUUGUCUUUCGUUAUUAUGCUUUUGAGGCAGACAGUUUGACAUUGAUGUGAAAAAGUUACGCUGCCCACACAUGCAUGACGUGAGCACGCACACAUACACAUCUAUAAAUAACUGCAAACACACACAUAUAUGUAUAAAAGAGCACACGCUCGUGGUAUCACCUGGCGGCAUUGACUUGCGCUGACGAGUGGCGCAAGUAUGAGUGGCAAGUAAAUGGAAAGUCAGAUGACAGUAUCCAUGAUUUGACUGCGAAAACUUUGUCCUGCUGUUGGAGGACGGACAAAGGCAGGUAUAUAACAACACAAAAAAAAGUACCAAAAGCAAAGCCAACAAGUACCAAAGCAAAAAAACAAAAAAAAAAUGUAUUGAACAAAACAAAAAAGUACUAACUCGAUUGACUAAAUCAGCGCCACAAGCGGCAACAAGCAAAUAAGCGAACGGACCAGAGCAUGAACAAUGAUUUGUUGCAAAGCAAAGAGUCAACGCUGCACAUCCAGCGCCAGUGGCAAUGGCCGAGCUGAGAUCAAUGGGAGCGCACAGAGGAAACGGAAUUACAUAAAACACAGAAGCCUGAAUUUUAUGCAACAAAUUGGAAGCCGAAGUUAAAUUUCGUAAAGAUAUUAAAAAACGUCUCGAUAUCGACUUCACUCAACAGCGAAGUCUUCUCAGCUUUCAAUAUAUUUUUGCCCACAACUUCCAGCAGUUUUCUUAUCUUUGCCGUGCAAGUAUUUUCAAUUAAAUUACGCAUAAAUUUUGAAUGACAAUGUUUUGUAGCAGAAAGCUGCAAAGAAGCUUUAGAAGUCACGCAAGGUCCACACCAACAACAACAGCUAUGCCAGAGAAAGAGUGGUAUUGUCAAGUGAGUUAUGUUGUAAACUUGAAUUCCCAAAAAUGGAUGUGGACAGUAAAACAAGAUUUUGUGAAUAAAUAACACUGCAAUUUGCGCCAAAAACCGAGAAAAAAAACAAACCAAAAUCAAACACGAAAAGUGCUUUAAAAAGCGAGCGAAACGACGAGGGCGAAGGGAGCAACGUGCAGAUGUAACAAUUGCGUCUGGUAUUGGAAUGAAACAAAUUAAAGUGUGGCUAAAGUAUUUGACAGGCAGCCACUAUAACGGUAAUGCAAACAUGUUAACUAAAUCAAGUUAACUAAAACAGAAUGAAAAGGAAGAUGGAAAAUAAAAGCAAAAACAAAAUAUUACAAUGAAAUUCAUGCAACUUGGCUGGAGCUUACUUGAUGUGGGUUGGAAUGAAAAAGAAAUGCGAUUAGGAUAAAAGGAUUUGCUUUGAUCAUCUUAAAAUAAUAUGUGAAAUUAAAAGAUAGCCCUGCGAAGCCGCAGCAAAUAAUAUACAAAACAUUUAACCGUUCUUGACAAAAAAAUAUUGCUUGGAACUUGAAAUAGAAACCUCUGCAGGUGAGCAAAAUGAAGCCUUUUAAGAGAACUAGAGACAGUCUAGGAGUCCCGAAGAAUUCAGUGUCGAUUUUAUAAAGAUCGUAAUUCUAAGAAACUGGUCUCAACCUCGGAACCACUUCAGUAUAGAAUUCAGACCAGAUUCCAUGAACAGAGAAAUCUAAAGUAAACACUUCUGCAGUAGAAUAAAACGAGAUACCAAUAACAGUGUGGGAGUCCCAAAGAAUACUGUGUCAAUUUCUAUAAAGACCAUAAUUCAUCUGGUAUCAAUCUCGGAACCACUUCAGUAUAGAAUUCAGAUCAGAUUCCGUGAAUAACGGAGAAAUGUAAAGUAAACACUUCUGCAGUAGAACAAAACGAGAUACCAAUAACAGUGUGGGAGUCCCAAAGAUACCUGUGUCAAUUUCUAUCAAGACCAUAAUUCAUCUGGAAAACACUUCAGUACAGAAUUCAGACCAAAUUCCAUAACAGAGAAAGCUAAAAUGCAUAGAUGGGUAUAACCAACAUUGUCCUUUAUCUAUACCAAUGGUUCUUCGAAUAUUUUCACCUAGAUGCCUAUGGAAGUGAACGAAACACAAAGUCUCUGUGUCUGUAAAAUAUACAAAAUCUGAAAUAGAAUCGAAAAAUUAUAAUAAAGAUUGUAUAAAAAUUGGUUUCCAUGACAGGUGGGCAUACAUAACCGGAAUGGGCCCAUAUUGAUGUAUAUGCUACCAAGAACUUUCAACUCGGCAGAACUCCUCCUGGUUUUUAGUAGUUUUCUUCUCUUGUUUCAACAACAACAUUUAUUUGUCGUGAACAAUUUAACAUAUAACUUUAUGUUAAAUGGGGAUAAUUGGUAAAUAAUUCUUAAUUGAAACUUUUUGGGAACCACCGCUAAACUGUAGUUAUAUAGCAAAUAAAGUCGUAAUUUCAAGCCAAAACUG